rnacentral:rRNA from 1 species
CUGGCUCAGGAUGAACGCUGGCGGCGUGCUUAACACAGUGCAAGUCGAACGGAGUUUUUAAGUGGAAGUUUCGGAUGGAAGUUUAAAACUAGUGGCGGACGGGUGAGUAACGCGUGGGUAACCUGCCUCAGUACAGGGGGAUAACAGUUAGAAAUGACUGCUAAGACCGCAUAAUAUAGCGAAACCGCAUGAUUUUUGCUAUCAAAUAUUUAUAGGGUAUGAGAUGGGCCCGCGUCUGAUUAGCUAGUUGGUGGGGUAAAAGCCUACCAAGGCGACGAUCAGUAGCCGGCUUGAGAGAGUGACCGGCCACAUUGGGACUGAGACACGGCCCAAACUCCUACGGGAGGCAGCAGUGGGGAAUAUUGGACAAUGGGGGAAACCCUGAUCCAGCCGACGCCGCGUGAGUGAAGAAGUAUUUCGGUAUGUAAAGCUCUAUCAGCAGGGAAGAUAAUGACAGUACCUGACUAAGAAGCCCCGGCUAACUACGUGCCAGCCGCCGC